rnacentral:lncRNA from 1 species
GUCACUGGGGCUCGUUCCGUACGCGGGGACGCCGUCGAAAUGUCUGAGUGAAGAGGACGCGCGGGCGGUGCUCGACGGAAGCCCCAGCCCGACUCCGGACCCAGAUUCGUGGCGGCUGACCACGACGGCAUGGUGCUCGUGCAAGAGGUGCGGCAUCAUGCCGACGCCUAAAGAGUGCAUCUGCUGCAGGGAGUGUCCCCCCGCGGUCGCGACUCGCCCGGGAGGGUGCAUCACGGAGCACAACAACUUCGCACCGAUCUGCCUCCAGCCCGGCGUGCUCGAAGUCGCGUUCUGGGCUCUGCAGGAGGCAGGUCGUCACCCGGCGCCGCGAGAACAGAAGCUUCGUUUUGCGGCCUAUCACCAAUUCGUGCGGUGGAUGUGGCGGAGGCUGGGACGUCGCAAUCGACGUGUUCUACCGGCCUGCGUGGUCAAGAGGAUCCACGAUGAAUUCCCUUCGGAAACGUAUACGGGGUUUCAUGAUGUAGAAUAAAAAUGUUGUAAACGCCA